AUGCUGAGGUCUGAUGACGAGUCACUACGGUGAUGAAGUAGCUCAUGCCCCGCUUCCAGGAAAAGCCUCUAAGCUCUAGAUUAUCAUUAAUCGUACCCCAAACCGACACAGGUGGUCAGGUAGAGAAUACUCAGGCGCUUGAGAGAACUCGGGUGAAGGAACUAGGCAAAAUGGUGCCGUAACUUCGGGAGAAGGCACGCUGGCGCUAGGUGAAGUGGUUUACCCAU
rnacentral:rRNA from 1 species